rnacentral:lncRNA from 9 species
UAAAGAUUCCAUAGUGGUUUCAAAGUGGGUAUAGAAACUACAAAAUCUACAAAGUCCUGGGUUUGAAAAUCAUGGCAUUGGGCAGAUAGCUUAGGGUUCAUAGUAGAUGUGAUCAUUACUUUCCAUCUAAUGUUUAUGUGAUAUUUAUCUUAGCCAACCUGGCAUACUUUCCCUUCUGAUAAUGACAUUCCUUAUUUCCUUUUAGGAAUUGUAUCUAUGGGAUUCUAGCAGAGCUGCCAAUUGUAUGUCCUCAACACCCCUGAGUGAUGGUCACAUUACUAGGCCAGCCAAUCAGAUUAUCCUACAUUCCUGUACAUAGUGCUAGUCUGAGAGUAAAUGACAACCCACACCUGGGGCACCCCAUGUUCUUUACUGAUAUUGUGACCUGUGCGGAUGACAUAAACAUAGAAUUGUUAGAGCUACUCUGCCAUACAUGAAGAAAGUCUGCCUAAGAAUUAGAGUAAGAGUAAAAUGAAGCCUUAUUAGAGAUGAGAAGAUUUAUGGAUACAUGGAUAUGUGACAAUCAUAUUGAAGCACUUGGAUCCAACAUUUUCAAGGCCAGCAUCAUCACUGGGCUUUCAUUUGUGAGCUACACACCUGGUAUUUUAAACCAAACUGAAUUGGAUUCACCACCUGCAUGCAAGAGACUUCUGGACAAUACAUAUUUCAUAGGGUUCUUGUAUGAGGAAGAUGUGGAAAGUGUUUACCAAAGUAACUGGACAUACUUCCUGGUUCUUUAUCUCUGAUGAAAAUUUCAAGUUAUGCUGACUAAGUUCCAUGAGGGACUUUGAACACUACUCCUCAAUCAGGUAAGCAUCCACUAAUUCAUGUGCCAUGAGACCCCCCUGCCUUCCUCUUUAAACCUUUCUCCUAAUUUCAGGGAGAAAAGUCACAGUCCCACUCAAAUACCAUGCUGGUGCUAAGGAGAGCAGAAAUAUUUGUUUAUAACAUUAUUUAUCCCAUAGAAUUUGGGAAAACUUGUCCAAAGAACUAGUUAAUGUCUGUCUUCUGGCAAACACUCUCAUAAUGGAUGCCAGAAGUAGUUGAUGGUGGUGGUAGUGUCAGAAAUAGGAGGAGUAAUAUUAUUGGGGCAGCAGCAAUCUCUGCUUCCUCAAAU